GACAGAGGGUGCAAACGUUGUUCGGAAUUACUGGGCGUAAAGCGUGCGUAGACGGUCAAGUAAGUCGGGUGUGAAAGCCCCGGGCUCAACCUGGGAAUUGCAUUCAAGACUGCGUGGCUAGGGUGCGGAAGAGGGAAGCGGAAUUUCCGGUGUAGCGGUGAAAUGCGCAGAUAUCAGGAAGAACACCCGUGGCGAAGGCGGCUCUCUGGGACGGUACUGACGCUGAGACGCGAAAGCGUGGGGAGCGAACAGG
rnacentral:rRNA from 1 species